GAUGAACGCUGGCGGCGUGCCUAACACAUGCAAGUCGAACGGAGAUUACGGACGGAAGUUUUCGGAUGGAAGCCUGUAAUUCUUAGUGGCGGACGGGUGAGUAACGCGUGGGCAACCUGCCCUAUACAGGGGGAUAGCAGCUGGAAACGGCUGGUAAGACCGCAUAAGUCGGUUAAAUCGCAUGAUUUGAUCGGGAAAUGAGCAAUCAGGUAUAGGAUGGGCCCGCGUCCGAUUAGCCAGUUGGCAGGGUAAAAGCCUACCAAAGCGACGAUCGGUAGCCGGACUGAGAGGUCGGACGGCCACAUUGGGACUGAGACACGGCCCAAACUCCUACGGGAGGCAGCAGUGGGGGAUAUUGCACAAUGGAGGAAACUCUGAUGCAGCGACGCCGCGUGAGUGAAGAAGUAUUUCGGUAUGUAAAGCUCUAUCAGCAGGGAAGAUGAUGACGGUACCUG
rnacentral:rRNA from 1 species